rnacentral:tRNA from 1 species
UCCCUGGUAGUCCAGUGGUUAGGACUAGGCACUUUCACUGCCAAAGGCCUGGGUUCAAUCCCUGGUUUGGGAA